CAGCUUCUCCAGUGCAAGUGGAUUUUCGCACCAACAUCAUCCAAGAAGAUGUCCUCUCAAAUUUAAGUAAUUUUGUAUUCUCAAUCCAAAGAUUCAAGUUUUGAAAGUAAAGAAUCUGAGUUCUGCACGAAAAGAAUUUGAUAAAGGAAAGUUCAAUCUAGAAAGAUAUCUCAACAAGUCCAUCUAUUCAAAAAUUAAGUUUG
rnacentral:lncRNA from 1 species